UUGACCUCGGAUCAGGUAGGGAUACCCGCUGAACUUAAGCAUAUCAAUAAGCGGAGGAAAAGAAACCAACAGGGAUUGCCUCAGUAACGGCGAGUGAAGCGGCAAGAGCUCAAAUUUGAAAGCUGGCCCCUUCGGGGUCCGCGUUGUAAUUUGCAGAGGAUGCUUCGGGUGCAGCCCCCGUCUAAGUGCCCUGGAACGGGCCGUCAUAGAGGGUGAGAAUCCCGUCUGGGACGGGGUGUCUGCGUCCGUGUGAAGCUCCUUCGACGAGUCGAGUUGUUUGGGAAUGCAGCUCUAAAUGGGUGGUAAAUUUCAUCUAAAGCUAAAUACUGGCCGGAGACCGAUAGCGCACAAGUAGAGUGAUCGAAGAUGAAAAGCACUUUGAAAAGAGAGUUAAACAGCACGUGNAAUUGUUGAAAGGAAGCGUUUGCACCAGACUCGCCCGCGGGGUUCA
rnacentral:rRNA from 1 species